rnacentral:rRNA from 1 species
GCAUAUCAAUAAGCGGAGGAAAAGAAACUAACAAGGAUUCCCUUGGUAACGGCGAGUGAAGCGGGAAGAGCUCAAAUUUGAAAUCUUCAAGGUUUUACCUUGACGAAUUGUAGUUUAAAGAAGUGUUUUCUGUUGAAGUUUUGGUAAAAGUUCUUUGGAAUAGGACAUCAUAGAGGGUGAGAAUCCCGUAUUUGACCAUUAUUUUCAGCUGUGUGAUACACUUUCAAAGAGUCGGAUUGUUUGGGAAUGCAGUCCAAAAUGGGUGGUAAAUUUCAUCUAAAGCUAAAUAUUGGCGAGAGACCGAUAGCGAACAAGUACCGUGAGGGAAAGAUGAAAAGAACUUUGAAAAGAGAGUUAAACAGUACGUGAAAUUGUCAAAAGGGAAGCGUUUGACACCAGUGUUGUUUUCUCGAAAAUCAAUUAAAAAGAGUUGGAUUUUGUGUUGUAUUGACCUUAACAGCUUGCUUCACUCUUUUCCAGCUUUUUUUAAUGCACUUUUCGUUUAACAAGUCAACAUCAGUUUCUUUUGUUGUAAAAGGGUCAUUGGAAGGUGGCUUUCUCUUCGGAGAAAGUGUUUAUAGCCUUUGAUCUCUGCAAUCGGAGAGACUGAGGUCUGCAGCGUAGAUCCUUCGGGGUUAGAUACAUUUGUGCUAAGCUACAGCUUUUCAUAGACAACUUGUUGACUAUGUUUAGUCUUGUGACUUACCCGCUUAUGCUAUUUUACCUACGCUUAGGAUGUUGACAAAAUGGUUUUAAACGACCCGUCUUGAAACACGGACC